rnacentral:lncRNA from 1 species
AUUAAUUUAAGGAAUCUAGCAUUGUAAAAAUUCGUGGGUUCGUUAUAGCUAAGAUUGUUUGUUGUGUUGGGUGUUUUGAAGGGUUUAAGAGAAAAAGAAUCGUGUCGUGAAAAUUCAUUUGAAUUUUGGGUUUUCAAUUGUUUGUUUGUUUGUUUAAUUUGUUUGAAUAGGGAAAUACUGAAAAGCCAAAGGUACAAGUACCACUGAAGAUCAUGGGCAUAACUUGUCUUAUCUGGUCGUGUAUGUUGAAACUUCUCUAUAAACAAGAGGUUCCCUUUGUACCCAAUCACCUAAAUUGCUUUACCUGGCCGAAAUUACUAUUGGGCUGACCUGGAUUGCAUGAAAGCAAUUCCCAAAGCUAGUGAGUCAUAUCCAGGACUACCUUGAGCAGAGAUGUGGAUUGGUUGCUUGGUGGAGUAACGUAUAGUAUUCAUUGUGUCGAC